rnacentral:rRNA from 1 species
GUCGAGCGGCGGACGGGUGAGUAAUGCUUGGGAAUAUGCCUUAUGGUGGGGGACAACAGUUGGAAACGACUGCUAAUACCGCAUGAUGUCUACGGACCAAAGUGGGGGACCUUCGGGCCUCACGCCAUAAGAUUAGCCCAAGUGGGAUUAGCUAGUUGGUGAGGUAAUGGCUCACCAAGGCGACGAUCCCUAGCUGGUUUGAGAGGAUGAUCAGCCACACUGGGACUGAGACACGGCCCAGACUCCUACGGGAGGCAGCAGUGGGGAAUAUUGCACAAUGGGCGCAAGCCUGAUGCAGCCAUGCCGCGUGUGUGAAGAAGGCCUUCGGGUUGUAAAGCACUUUCAGUAAGGAGGAAAGGUUAAGUGUUAAUAGCACUUAGCUGUGACGUUACUUACAGAAGAAGCACCGGCUAACUCCGUGCCAGCAGCCGCGGUAAUACGGAGGGUGCGAGCGUUAAUCGGAAUUACUGGGCGUAAAGCGUACGCAGGCGGUUUGUUAAGCGAGAUGUGAAAGCCCCGGGCUCAACCUGGGAACUGCAUUUCGAACUGGCAAACUAGAGUGUGAUAGAGGGUGGUAGAAUUUCAGGUGUAGCGGUGAAAUGCGUAGAGAUCUGAAGGAAUACCGAUGGCGAAGGCAGCCACCUGGGUCAACACUGACGCUC